GACGAACGCUGGCGGCGUGCUUAACACAUGCAAGUCGAACGAAGUGGCGAACGGGUGAGUAAUACGUGGGUAACCUGCCCUCCUUUUUGGGAUAAGCCUUGGAAACGGGGUCUAAUACCGAAUAAAGGGGGAUGGGCUCGCGGCCUAUCAGCUUGUUGGUGGGGUGAUGGCCUUCCAAGGCGGUGACGGGUAGCCGGCCUGAGAGGGUGGCCGGCCACAUGGGGAGUGAGAUGCGGCCCGGACUCGUACUGGGGGGGGCAGUGGGGGAUAUUGAAAAAUGGGUGAAAGCCUGAUGCAGCGACGCCGCGUGGGGGAUGAAGGUUUUCGGGUUGGAAACCUCUUGCGCUAGCGAACGGUGAGGUGGAAAAGAAGCGCCGGCUAACUACGUGCCAGCAGCCGCGGUAAUAA
rnacentral:rRNA from 1 species